rfam:Triticum aestivum genome assembly, contig: Triticum_aestivum_CS42_TGACv1_scaffold_378407_5AL
CUCGUACUCCCUCCGUCCGAAAAUACUUGUCAUGAAAAUGGAUAAAAAGAGAUGUAUCUAGAACUAAAAUACAUCUAAAUACAUCCCCUUUUAUUCAUCUUGAUAACAAGUAUUUCUGGACGGAGGGAGUAUACA